rnacentral:rRNA from 2 species
UAGGGAAUCUUCGGCAAUGGACGAAAGUCUGACCGAGCAACGCCGCGUGAGUGAAGAAGGUUUUCGGAUCGUAAAACUCUGUUGUUAGAGAAGAACAAGGACGUUAGUAACUGAACGUCCCCUGACGGUAUCUAACCAGAAAGCCACGGCUAACUACGUGCCAGCAGCCGCGGUAAUACGUAGGUGGCAAGCGUUGUCCGGAUUUAUUGGGCGUAAAGCGAGCGCAGGCGGUUUCUUAAGUCUGAUGUGAAAGCCCCCGGCUCAACCGGGGAGGGUCAUUGGAAACUGGGAGACUUGAGUGCAGAAGAGGAGAGUGGAAUUCCAUGUGUAGCGGUGAAAUGCGUAGAUAUAUGGAGGAACACCAGUGGCGAAGGCGGCUCUCUGGUCUGUAACUGACGCUGAGGCUCGAAAGCGUGUGGAGCAAACAGG